rnacentral:rRNA from 1 species
CAGCAGCCGCGGUAACAUGUAGGGUGCGAGCGUUGUCCGGAAUUACUGGGCGUAAAGGGCUCGUAGGUGGUUUGUCGCGUCGUCUGUGAAAUUCCGGGGCUUAACUCCGGGCGUGCAGGCGAUACGGGCAUAACUUGAGUACUGUAGGGGUAACUGGAAUUCCUGGUGUAGCGGUGAAAUGCGCAGAUAUCAGGAGGAACACCGAUGGCGAAGGCAGGUUACUGGGCAGUUACUGACGCUGAGGAGCGAAAGCAUGGGUAGCGAACAGGAUUAGAUACCCCCGUAGUCCCUGUCUCUUAUA